rnacentral:rRNA from 1 species
GGCGAACGCUGGCGGCGUGCCUAACACAUGCAAGUCGAGCGAGAGGAGUUCUUCGGAACAAAUCUAGCGGCGGACGGGUGAGUAACACGUGGGCAACCUGCCUUAUAGAGGGGAAUAGCCUUCCGAAAGGAAGAUUAAUACCGCAUAAUAUUGCAGCUUCGCAUGAAGCAGUAAUUAAAGGAGCAAUCCGCUAUAAGAUGGGCCCGCGGCGCAUUAGCUAGUUGGUGAGGUAACGGCUCACCAAGGCGACGAUGCGUAGCCGACCUGAGAGGGUGAUCGGCCACAUUGGGACUGAGACACGGCCCAGACUCCUACGGGAGGCAGCAGUGGGGAAUAUUGCACAAUGGGGGAAACCCUGAUGCAGCAACGCCGCGUGAGUGAUGAAGGUUUUCGGAUCGUAAAACUCUGUCUUUGGGGACGAUAAUGACGGUACCCAAGGAGGAAGCCACGGCUAACUACGUGCCAGCCGCCGCCGUAA